rnacentral:rRNA from 1 species
CAAGUGUACCCCUGCUCAAAUGGUGGGAUCUGCAAAAACAGGCCCGGAGGCUACGACUGUCCAUGCAAAUUCGGAAUGAAAGGCGACGGCAAAGCCGGAACCUGCACACAUGUAUUUACUCCAGCAGCAAAAGCGACUGUGGGUGCAAUAGGUGGUAUUCUUCUUAUGGUGAUUCUAUCGUUUCUUCUUAUUCUCCACAAAGAGAAAAAGAAGGGGCAAGAAUUCUUCAAAAAGAACGGCGGCCCUACAUUAGAGAAGGCAAAUGUCAUCAAACUUUUCAAAAAGGAGGAACUCAAACCAAUUUUGGAGAGUAGCAACUUGAUAGGUAAAGGUGGCUUUGGUGAAGUUUACAAGGGCCAUCUUGACAAUAAAGAAGUUGCAAUAAAGAAGCCGAUCAGUGGCAGUGUGCUAGAGAAUGAACAAUUUGCAAAUGAAGUCAUCAUCCAAUCUCAAGUCAUCCACAAGAACAUUGUUAGGCUCAUUGGUUGUUGCCUUGAAUUUGAUGCCCCCAUGCUGGUCUACGAGUUUAUCACCCAAGGUAGCCUCCAUGACAAUCUUCACAGCAACAAGAACAAUGUAGCUCUCAACUUGGAUGCGCGUUUAAGUAUUGCUGCACAGUCAGCGGAUGGUCUAGCUUAUAUGCACUCAAAAGCAAAUAUUAGAAUUCUACACGGUGAUGUCAAACCAGCAAAUAUACUCUUGGAUGAUAACCUUGUACCCAAGAUUUCAGACUUCGACAUAUCUAGGUUGAUUGCGAGAGACAAGCAACACACUGGAUCAGUCAUCGGAGACAUGAAUUAUAUGGAUCCAGUAUAUAUACAGGAAGGCCUCCUCACCGAGAGAAGUGAUGUCUAUAGUUUCGGAGUUGUAAUCCUGGAGCUUAUCAGCAGUAGGAUGGCCAUACUUUCCGAGAAUAAUAGCUUGGUAAAGAGCUUUCUUGAAGCCCAUAAGAAAAAGAAGAAGGCCACCGAGUUUUUUGACAAGGAAAUCAAUAGCAGAGAUUUGGAGCUUCUUGACAGUCUUGCGGUUAUGGCGGUGGAAUGCCUUAGCCUGGAUGUAGAUCAAAGACCAACGAUGAUGGAGGUAGCUGAGCGGCUACACAUACUGAGUCGAUCCGGUAAGGUGCAAGAUGUUUGUCACUAA